CUGCAUGAAGCCGGAAUCGCUAGUAAUCGCGGGUCAGCAUACCGCGGUGAAUGUGUUCCUGAGCCUUGUACACACCGCCCGUCAAGCCACGAAAGUGGGGGGCCGACGAAGUCGCCGAGCUAACCCUCUGGGAGGCAAGCGCCGAAUCGGAACUCCAUGAUUGGGACUAAGUCGUAACAAGGUAGCCGUAGGGGAACCUGCGGCUGGAUCACCUCCUUUCUAAGGA
rnacentral:rRNA from 1 species